GUGGACAUGCCAGAGUGGUUAUUGGGCAUGACUAUAUAUCAUGUGGGCUUCACCUGCACAGGUUCAAAUCCUACUAUCCACA
rnacentral:tRNA from 1 species